rnacentral:misc_RNA from 1 species
GUUUCAAGAGCAGUGCCACGAUCGACGCCGCCAAGCAACGAUAUUGAAUUUCAUCUUCGCGGAUGUUCGAACGAAUUUCCAAUCGAUUACAAACCCCGCACGAGAUGAUUUCUUUGGACAAAAGGGAAAUAUCAUUUGUCUACGAAGGGCCACCUAUAUAUUACGGCUGAAUAAUGUUUUUGUUAUAGUUAGAUUCGAGGGUGACUUACUGGUGGGUUUUUCGAGCACUCUUUUGCGAACCUGAGCUAGACAUACCUCGUGGGGCACCUUUAAACAGAAC